rnacentral:snoRNA from 1 species
AUUAAAAGAUGAUGAUUUUGUUAUCGCCCCAGUCUGAAAAAAGUGUGGAUUCGAUUCUCUGAACAAUU